rnacentral:rRNA from 1 species
AGUGAACGCUGGCGGUAGGCCUAACACAUGCAAGUCGAACGGCAGCACAGUAAGAGCUUGCUCUUACGGGUGGCGAGUGGCGGACGGGUGAGGAAUACAUCGGAAUCUACUUUUUCGUGGGGGAUAACGUAGGGAAACUUACGCUAAUACCGCAUACGACCUACGGGUGAAAGCAGGGGAUCUUCGGACCUUGCGCGAUUGAAUGAGCCGAUGUCGGAUUAGCUAGUUGGCGGGGUAAAGGCCCACCAAGGCGACGAUCCGUAGCUGGUCUGAGAGGAUGAUCAGCCACACUGGAACUGAGACACGGUCCAGACUCCUACGGGAGGCAGCAGUGGGGAAUAUUGGACAAUGGGCGCAGGCCUGAUCCAGCCAUACCGCGUGGGCGAAGAAGGCCUUCGGGUUGUAAAGCCCUUUUGUUGGGAAAGAAAAGCAGCAGGUUAAUACCCCGCUGUUCUGACGGUACCCAAAGAAUAAGCACCGGCUAACUUCGUG